UGGUAUAUACUGUACAUGUAUUCUCUUAACUCUUAUUGACUCACAGAUUGAUAAAGGAGUGUACAUAUCAAGGAAGCUAUUGUUUGCUGGUAUGCUGUUGAGAGUCAGUGGAUUGUGGACUAAAGGGGAAACUGUCAAGAGUGGAGUGCAUGGUGACUGGCUCUACCAGUGUGGAUUGUGUUUAGAUCAGCCUCAUUGCAAUUCUUCCUAUUCAUGCAAGUCAGUUCAGAGAUAUGGAGUUUGAUCCCAAUGGUGAUACUUACUUUGAUGAAGCAGUUGAUGGUUUUUGAAG